ACGAACGCUGGCGGCGCGCCUAACACAUGCAAGUCGAACGGAGCUUAGAGAGCUUGCUUUUUAAGCUUAGUGGCGAACGGGUGAGUAACGCGUGAGUAACCUGCCCUAGAGUGGGGGACAACAGUUGGAAACGACUGCUAAUACCGCAUAAGCCCACGGUGCCGCAUGGUACUGAGGGAAAAGGAUUUAUUCGCUUUAGGAUGGACUCGCGUCCAAUUAGCUAGUUGGUGAGGUAACGGCCCACCAAGGCGACGAUUGGUAGCCGGACUGAGAGGUUGAACGGCCACAUUGGGACUGAGACACGGCCCAGACUCCUACGGGAGGCAGCAGUGGGGGAUAUUGCACAAUGGGGGAAACCCUGAUGCAGCGACGCCGCGUGGAGGAAGAAGGUUUUCGGAUUGUAAACUCCUGUCGUUAGGGACGAUAAUGACGGUACCUAACAAGAAAGCACCGGCUAACUACGUGCCAGCAGCCGCGGUAAAACGUAGGGUGCAAGCGUUGUCCGGAAUUACUGGGUGUAAAGGGAGCGCAGGCGGGAAGACAAGUUGGAAGUGAAAACCAUGGGCUCAACCCAUGAAUUGCUUUCAAAACUGUUUUUCUUGAGUAGUGCAGAGGUAGAUGGAAUUCCCGGUGUAGCGGUGGAAUGCGUAGAUAUCGGGAGGAACACCAGUGGCGAAGGCGGUCUACUGGGCACCAACUGACGCUGAGGCUCGAAAGCAUGGGUAGCAAACAGGAUUAGAUACCCUGGUAGUCCAUGCCGUAAACGAUGAUUACUAGGUGUUGGGGGAUUGACCCCCUCAGUGCCGCAGUUAACACAAUAAGUAAUCCACCUGGGGAGUACGACCGCAAGGUUGAAACUCAAAGGAAUUGACGGGGGCCCGCACAAGCAGUGGAGUAUGUGGUUUAAUUCGAAGCAACGCGAAGAACCUUACCAAAUCUUGACAUCCUUUGACAACUCUAGAGAUAGAGCCUUCCCCUUCGGGGGACAAAGUGACAGGUGGUGCAUGGUUGUCGUCAGCUCGUGUCGUGAGAUGUUGGGUUAAGUCCCGCAACGAGCGCAACCCUUAUUGCCAGUUACUACGUUAAGAGGACUCUGGCGAGACUGCCGUUGACAAAACGGAGGAAGGUGGGGAUGACGUCAAAUCAUCAUGCCCUUUAUGACCUGGGCUACACACGUACUACAAUGGCGUUAAACAAAGAGAAGCAAGACCGCGAGGUGGAGCAAAACUCAAAAACAACGUCUCAGUUCAGAUUGCAGGCUGCAACUCGCCUGCAUGAAGUCGGAAUUGCUAGUAAUCGCGGAUCAGCAUGCCGCGGUGAAUACGUUCCCGGGCCUUGUACACACCGCCCGUCACACCAUGAGAGUUUGUAACACCCAAAGUCGGUGGGGUAACCUUUUAGGAGCCAGCCGCCUAAGGUGGGACAGAUGAUUAGGGUG
rnacentral:rRNA from 1 species